rnacentral:rRNA from 1 species
UACGUAGGGGGCAAGCGUUGUCCGGAUUUACUGGGCGUAAAGAGCGUGUAGGCGGCCACGCAGGUCCGUUGUGAAAACUGGAGGCUCAACCUCCAGCUGUCGACGGAAACCGUAUGGCUAGAGUCCGGAAGAGGAGAGUGGAAUUCCUGGUGUAGCGGUGGAAUGCGCAGAUAUCAGGAGGAACACCGAUAGCGAAGGCAGCUCGCUGGGACGGUACUGACGCUAAGGCGCGAAAGCGUGGGGAGCGAACAGG